rnacentral:rRNA from 1 species
UUUUCUUACCCAGGAUCUGCUUUGGGUCAGGCAAACUAGAGUGCAGUAGGGGAGACUGGAAUUCCUGGUGUAGCGGUGGAAUGCUCAAAUAUCAGGAGGAACACCGAUGGCGAAGGCCGGUCUCUGGGCUGUAACUGACGCUGAGGAGCAAAGCAUGGGGAGCCAACAGGAUUAGAUACCCUGGUAUCCAUGCCGUAAACGUUGCCACUAGGUGUGGGGACCAUUCCGGGUUUCCGCGCCGGAGUAAGGUUUAUUCCCCCGCCGGGGGAGUAGG